ACUUUUUCUGGAUCUAAAGAUUAUUGCUAUAUAAAUAUGGACUCAUCCAUUCGGGAAAUCACUCAGUUCACUGUCUUCAUGGAUAUCUACAAGCUGUCGUUUCUCAUCGCCAUAUUGGGAGGUUUCCUGCAGCUGAGUUCCGGCCAGACAAGGGAUUGCUCUGGUGCCUGUACCUUACAGGCACGUUGUAACCCCUACCAUAAGGAUCUGUUCUGGGCCGUCGUGGGCGGUGUUUGUCGCGUCUUUCAGAACGGAUGUUUCUUUGGAUCAGCCAACUGUCAGAGGGCCAAUCAAUGCCUGAGGCCCAUGGUCGCCACAUCACCGGAAAACUGUAAGGAGUAUUGUCCUCAGCGCUGUCCCCUGGCUGGUGAAAGGGUGUGUGGCUGGUUUGCAUAUAUCGACGUUAACGGUGUCAACCGGGAUCGCUCUAUGAGCUUCCGAAACCGUUGUCUGUUGGAUCAUUAUGCCUACCGGAAUGGUAUAGCCAUUUCAAUCUCUAACAUUUAAAGAUCAGUAUUGUUUAACAAAGCUCAUAACUUAAAACGAUCAUGGCAAAAGCUUAUAUAGGAGAACCAUCCGUUGUAAGCUGUCCCUAAAAACAUGCUCAACGUAAACAAAAUGUAAACAAAUUAUCUGAAACGAAGUAUUGCCAGUAAAAUGUGAUGUAGACAGAAAUCAAUAUAAAUUAUGCAUAUUUAAAA